rnacentral:rRNA from 1 species
AUACGUAGGGAGCGAGCGUUGUCCGGAAUUACUGGGUGUAAAGGGUGCGUAGGCGGGACUGCAAGUCAGAUGUGAAAUGCCGGGGCUCAACCCCGGAGCUGCAUUUGAAACUGUGGUUCUUGAGUGAGGUAGAGGUAAGCGGAAUUCCUAGUGUAGCGGUGAAAUGCGUAGAUAUUAGGAGGAACAACGGUGGCGAAGGCGGCUUACUGGGCCUUUACUGACGCUGAGGCACGAAAGCGUGGGGAGCAAACAGGAUUAGAGACCCUGGUAGUCCACGCUGUAAACGAUGAUGACUAGGUGUGGGGGGACUGAACCCUUCCGUGCCGCAGUUAACACAAUAAGUCAUCCACCUGGGGAGUACGGCCGCAAGGUUGAAACUCAAAUGAAUUGACGGGG